AACAAACCAAAAGGAAACACCCACCUUACAGUAAUGUUAUUUUUAAGCUCUACUUCUUUCCUCUACGUGAAAAUGGAGAUGUGUAUACUGACUUCCAGUGUAAGCUCCUUUACCAGAGGCCUUAAAAUUGAAGCUGUACUGGGAGUUGUCUUAUGUCAGGAUCUACUUUUGAACCCUGGAAUACCAGAGUUUGGACCUGAAUCCCUGGAGUUCACCAAUGACACAAGGUGUAGGAAUCAGAGCAUCUGACCAGCUCUGAGUGAAAGCUCACAUCCUUACAUUACAAACCACUUAAUUGUUUUUGUUUUUAAUUGUAUCCUUAUUAAAUGACUGGCUAAUGUGCACUCAGCACUUCC
ensembl:lncRNA